GCUCUAAAGAGCCUGUGUCGCUCACCUUGGUCUUGUGCAUAUUAAACAAUGGACACAGAUAAAUUCAUGACAUAAUUGUGUUUUGGUGAUAGUGAUGUGUUUGUAGAUCCUACUUUACUGAACAUUCUUGUUGCUGCAAUUAUCUCUAUCUAUAAUGAACUUGGCCCAGUAAUUACAGUGGAAAAUAUUUUCUAAAAAUUUACAAAAAUUUAUGAAAAAUGUUAAAAAUUAACUAUAAAGGGCAAUAACUCUUUAAGGGGUCAAUUGACUAUUUUGGUCAUGUAACUUAUUUGUAGAUUUUAUUUUGCUGAAUGUUAUUGCUGUAUACAGUUUAUCUCUAUCUAUAAUAAUAUUCAAGAUAAUAACCAAAAACAGCAAAAUUUCCUUAAAAUUACCAAUUCAGGGGCAGCAACCCAACAACAGGUUGUCCGAUUCAUCU
rnacentral:lncRNA from 1 species